AGCACUUGUUGUGGGUGGCAGCUGCAGUGGCCGCAGCUUUGAAGGAGCCUCCCAUUGCUGCUCCUUGGCCUUUUCUGCUGGCCUCUUCCCUUAGGCAUAGUGGCUGCUGGACCGCAGCACUCGCGUGGCCAAAGACAUAUAGUGAAUGUUAUCGUGCCCAUGGCAGCUGCCACCAUUCUUGCCCACACCAUACACGACAAAUUGGAGAGUGUGCACGCCAUGUACGUUGCUGCAAAUAAGGGAUAGUGCCAGGGCUACUCACAGCGGAUUUCAGCGUUACUUCCAUGGCUUGAACCCUCAUAGACCCAGCUUAUCUCGCUCUACAAUCCCGUCUCCUGAUUUGCUGUGCUUUUAAUGGAGCUGAUU